AACGCACCUUGCGCCCUCUGGUAUUCCGGAGGGCAUGCCUGUUUGAGUGUCAUGUGGACUCAACCCCCCCGGGUUUCCGGGGGAGGUCGGACCUGGGCGUCUGCCGUCUAUCGCGGCUCGCCUGAAAUGCGUCAGUGGCGUCUGUGGACCCCCAGACCGGAGUGAUAAGUUUCUCUGGCCAGGACGGACCCGUGACCCGCUCACAACCCCCCCACUUUUUUGACUCUGACCUCAAAUCAGGUAGGGCUACCCGCUGAACUUAA
rnacentral:misc_RNA from 1 species